UACGUAGGGUGCAAGCGUUGUCCGGAAUUAUUGGGCGUAAAGAGCUCGUAGGCGGUUCGUCGCGUCGGCUGUGAAAACCCGGAGCUCAACUCCGGGCCUGCAGUCGAUACGGGCGGACUCGAGUUCGGCAGGGGAGACUGGAAUUCCUGGUGUAGCGGUGAAAUGCGCAGAUAUCAGGAGGAACACCGGUGGCGAAGGCGGGUCUCUGGGCCGAUACUGACGCUGAGACGCGAAAGCGUGGGGAGCGAACAGG
rnacentral:rRNA from 1 species